rnacentral:rRNA from 1 species
GAUGAACGCUAGCUACAGGCUUAACACAUGCAAGUCGAGGGGAAACGACAUCGAAAGCUUGCUUUUGAUGGGCGUCGACCGGCGCACGGGUGAGUAACGCGUAUCCAACCUGCCCACCACUUGGGGAUAACCUUGCGAAAGUAAGACUAAUACCCAAUGACGUCUCUAGAAGACAUCUGAAAGAGAUUAAAGAUUUAUCGGUGAUGGAUGGGGAUGCGUCUGAUUAGCUUGUUGGCGGGGUAACGGCCCACCAAGGCAACGAUCAGUAGGGGUUCUGAGAGGAAGGUCCCCCACAUUGGAACUGAGACACGGUCCAAACUCCUACGGGAGGCAGCAGUGAGGAAUAUUGGUCAAUGGGCGAGAGCCUGAACCAGCCAAGUAGCGUGCAGGAUGACGGCCCUAUGGGUUGUAAACUGCUUUUAUAAGGGAAUAAAGUUAGUCUCGUGAGACUUUUUGCAUGUACCUUAUGAAUAAGGACCGGCUAAUUCCGUG